rnacentral:rRNA from 1 species
UACGUAGGGUGCAAGCGUUGUCCGGAAUUAUUGGGCGUAAAGAGCUCGUAGGCGGUUUGUUGCGUCGGCUGUGAAAUCCCGAGGCUCAACCUCGGGUCUGCAGUCGAUACGAGCAAACUAGAGUGUUGCAGGGGAGACUGGAAUUCCUGGUGUAGCGGUGAAAUGACGCAGAUAUCAGGAGGAACACCGGUGGCGAAGGCGGGUCUCUGGGCCGUAACUGACGCUGGAGGAGCGAAAGCGUUGGGGAGCGAACA